UACAGAGGUCUCAAGCGUUGUUCGGAUUCAUUGGGCGUAAAGGGUGUGUAGGUGGCGCCGUAAGUCGGGUGUGAAAUCUCGGGGCUUAACUCCGAAACUGCAUUCGAUACUGCGGUGCUUGAGGACUGGAGAGGAGACUGGAAUUCAUGGUGUAGCAGUGAAAUGCGUAGAGAUCAUGAGGAAGACCAGUGGCGAAGGCGGGUCUCGUGGACAGUUCCUGACACUGAGACACGAAGGCCAGGGGAGCAAACGGG
rnacentral:rRNA from 1 species